rnacentral:rRNA from 1 species
GUAACUCCCCUGUUCUUGAGCAGGGUGCUACUCAACCCGUGUAUACCUUACCUUUGUUGCUUUGGCAGGCCGCCUUNNGGCGUUGGCUCCGGUUGACAGNGCUNNCCAGAGGACCCAAACUCUUUUGUUUAGUGAUGUCUGAGUACUAUAUAAUAGUUAAAACUUUCAACAACGGAUCUCUUGGUUCUGGCAUCGAUGAAGAACGCAGCGAAAUGCGAUAAGUAAUGUGAAUUGCAGAAUUCAGUGAAUCAUCGAAUCUUUGAACGCACAUUGCGCCCCUUGGUAUUCCGAGGGGCAUGCCUGUUCGAGCGUCAUUAUGACCACUCAAGCCUAGCUUGGUAUUGAGGUUCGCGGUCUCGCGGCCCCUAAAAUCAGUGGCGGUGCUGUCUGGCUCUAAGCGUAGUAAUUUUCUCGCUAUGGGGUCCGGACAGUUACUUGCCAAAACCCCAACUUCUCACGGUUGACCUCGGAUCAGGUAGGGAUACCCGCUGAACUUAAGCAUAUCAAUAAGCGAGGNA